rnacentral:lncRNA from 1 species
GUCAAAAAAACCAUAGUGUCCAGAUUACAAAUCGACACGGCCCAAUAAACUAAAUGCUAGGCCCAAAUCACCUAACCCUAACCCAACACAAAACAUUUUUUCAAUCAAAAAACCCUAGCAUCACUGCCCUCCAGCCAUCGUAACAGUAGCCUCUCACACGCGCUCCUCCACGCCACGUUGGCAUCCGUACGCCCCAGCUGGCCCUCGUACGACCGUACCUGCAGCAAACAACAAGACAACAGCAAAAAAAAGAAGAAAAAAGAAAAGCAAAAAUAGCAACAGGAAAGAAAAUAGAAAAAAGAUAGCAGAGAAAGAGAUGUAUUUUUUAUUUGAUUUUUCUUCUUGAUUUGGCUAUAAAAAAG